CUGUGCUUGGUGGUGGAUGGUAACAGGACAUCUCUGGAUAUCAACUGCUGGACUCUUCACCCUUUAUAUCCCGUAGGAUCUGCUACUUACUAUUAAGUCACUUUUGACUUGUAGUCCUUAUCUAACACUGUUUGGAUUCAGGACAGUCCAAGGCUUGUUGCUUUUGUCAUCAGGCUUUCAGAUUUCGCUGGGAGUGGAUAUGGUUGUCAGCUUGAUUGCUUUCACUUGAGUUGGACCCCUUUUUGGAUUUCUGCCGUUGACCUGGCCCGGUGACGGCGAGCGAUAUUCUUGUUGCUUCUCAAUCACAUCUUGAGCCACACACAUUCUUGGACACAUGGAAAAAUUUUAUUUUUAAAUAUCUUUGAUCUUAUUGUCUAUAAAUCCCCUGAAGAAGGGAGAAUUUCCGAAACAGCUGUUGGGUGUGACUCUAAGCAGCCUUGUGUUUCCUGUUCAAUUACGUAUUUGAAUGAUUUGUAUUCAUGAUGUACAUAUUUUUGAUACAAUUGGUAUACUAUGUGUAAUCAAUAAAAUGUGCUACUUUUUAUACAA